rnacentral:piRNA from 1 species
UUGGAGGGACCACAGAGGAAGGUGGCAA